GCCAGGUAUGGUGGCACACACCUGUAAUCCCAAUGGCUUGGGAGGCUGAGGCAGGAGGAUCACAAGUUCAAAGUCUUAAGUACAACAACAGUAAGGCACUAAGCAAACUUAGUGAGACCUUGACUCUA
rnacentral:sRNA from 1 species